rnacentral:rRNA from 1 species
AUGGCGUCGCCGCUCCCCUUCCAUGUAUGUGCUCCUCUAACAUCAAUCUUUCCUGGUAGUAGUAGCAAUGUCACCUCAUCUCGGGAACUCCAAGCUUGGUUGAUUGUAUUGUAUUUACUCUCCAUUUUGUUCAUCUCUCCACCGAAUCAGCAGCAAAAUCUUACCAGCGGAUUCAUCUUUCCCCAAUUGCCUCUCUGCAUUUUGUUCCUGUUUCAAUUCAACACUGGUCCAAGAUUCCUGACCGGGCUUCCCUCCUCCCGUGCAUUCACUUGCAGAUCAUUUCACAGAGGAGAAGAAAGAUGA